GGCGGGGCUUAUGCGGUCAGAUUCAGUGGAUCGGAGAAAGGAGUGUUGGGUGAAAAGGAGAUGGACCUUUGUGACCGUAAGAAAGCAUCGGAAAGCGCCUUUGGACCGCAAAGGAACGGAUUCCCGCGUCGGCGCGUGCUUCUGUACGCGGUUGCUGCUGUUUCUUCUUCCGCGCUCUGCCUGCCGUCCAUCGCUCAGCUUCCCCUGUUUUCCCCUCUGAAUUACGCUUGUAUUUCGAAUUAAAAUGAGAAGAACGGUAGACCAGAGUUUUACGUCAUGAACACAAACAAUAAUUUUGCAGAUGUGAUGAAGUGACUUUCGACUGAUGUUUCCCGAAAGCGGCAACACGUGUCCCUCUUACCCGGCUGGUGCAGUCCUCUCGUCUACAGAUGUGUCGCUUGAUGUACCCUUCGGAUGGCACACUGCCACUUAAUAAAAUAUCAAUCCUGCUUUGACAGGGAAGCCUUAAUUGAGUCCCUCGUCAGUUUUAUCAAACUGUGUGUUUUUUGUCGUUUGAAACUUUCCUCCUCUAUAUCCCCUUCAGUCUCUCUCUUGCUCUUAUGGAAUAUGCUAGUAGUUGAAUUCCUCUGUAACGAAAAGAGACGGAGGGCGGUGCUGGGAAAGAAGAACAAAGUGAAAGAAAGAAAACACUGGAACGGAAAGAAAAAAUAAGAACAAGCGCAAAAGUGGGAGAGAG